AGAGUUUGAUCCUGGCUCAGGAUGAACGCUAGCUACAGGCUUAACACAUGCAAGUCGAGGGGCAGCAUGGUCUUAGCUUGCUAAGGCCGAUGGCGACCGGCGCACGGGUGAGUAACACGUAUCCAACCUGCCGUCUACUCUUGGACAGCCUUCUGAAAGGAAGAUUAAUACAAGAUGGCAUCAUGAGUCCACAUGUUCACAUGAUUAAAGGUAUUCCGGUAGACGAUGGGGAUGCGUUCCAUUAGAUAGUAGGCGGGGUAACGGCCCACCUAGUCUUCGAUGGAUAGGGGUUCUGAGAGGAAGGUCCCCCACAUUGGAACUGAGACACGGUCCAAACUCCUACGGGAGGCAGCAGUGAGGAAUAUUGGUCAAUGGGCGAGAGCCUGAACCAGCCAAGUAGCGUGAAGGAUGACUGCCCUAUGGGUUGUAAACUUCUUUUAUAAAGGAAUAAAGUCGGGUAUGGAUACCCGUUUGCAUGUACUUUAUGAAUAAGGAUCGGCUAACUCCGUGCCAGCAGCCGCGGUAAUACGGAGGAUCCGAGCGUUAUCCGGAUUUAUUGGGUUUAAAGGGAGCGUAGAUGGAUGUUUAAGUCAGUUGUGAAAGUUUGCGGCUCAACCGUAAAAUUGCAGUUGAUACUGGAUAUCUUGAGUGCAGUUGAGGCAGGCGGAAUUCGUGGUGUAGCGGUGAAAUGCUUAGAUAUCACGAAGAACUCCGAUUGCGAAGGCAGCCUGCUAAGCUGCAACUGACAUUGAGGCUCGAAAGUGUGGGUAUCAAACAGGAUUAGAUACCCUGGUAGUCCACACGGUAAACGAUGAAUACUCGCUGUUUGCGAUAUACAGCAAGCGGCCAAGCGAAAGCGUUAAGUAUUCCACCUGGGGAGUACGCCGGCAACGGUGAAACUCAAAGGAAUUGACGGGGGCCCGCACAAGCGGAGGAACAUGUGGUUUAAUUCGAUGAUACGCGAGGAACCUUACCCGGGCUUAAAUUGCAGAUGAAUUACGGUGAAAGCCGUAAGCCGCAAGGCAUCUGUGAAGGUGCUGCAUGGUUGUCGUCAGCUCGUGCCGUGAGGUGUCGGCUUAAGUGCCAUAACGAGCGCAACCCUUGUUGUCAGUUACUAACAGGUUUCGCUGAGGGCUCUGACAAGACUGCCAUCGUAAGAUGUGAGGAAGGUGGGGAUGACGUCAAAUCAGCACGGCCCUUACGUCCG
rnacentral:rRNA from 1 species